rnacentral:rRNA from 1 species
AGCGAACGCUGGCGGCAGGCUUAACACAUGCAAGUCGAACGGGCACUUCGGUGUCAGUGGCAGACGGGUGAGUAACACGUGGGAACGUACCUUUUGGUUCGGAACAACUGAGGGAAACUUCAGCUAAUACCGGAUAAGCCCUUACGGGGAAAGAUUUAUCGCCGAAAGAUCGGCCCGCGUCUGAUUAGCUAGUUGGUAGGGUAAUGGCCUACCAAGGCGACGAUCAGUAGCUGGUCUGAGAGGAUGAUCAGCCACAUUGGGACUGAGACACGGCCCAAACUCCUACGGGAGGCAGCAGUGGGGAAUAUUGGACAAUGGGGGCAACCCUGAUCCAGCCAUGCCGCGUGAGUGAUGAAGGCCCUAGGGUUGUAAAGCUCUUUUGUGCGGGAAGAUAAUGACGGUACCGCAAGAAUAAGCCCCGGCUAACUUCGUGCCAGCCGCCGCAGUAACAC